GACGAACGCUGGCGGCGUGCUUAACACAUGCAAGUCGAACGGAAAGGCCCUGCUUUUGUGUGGUGCUCGAGUGGCGAACGGGUGAGUAACACGUGAGUAACCUGCCCUUGACUUUGGGAUAACUUCAGGAAGCUGGGGCUAAUACCGGAUAGGAGCUCCUGCUGCAUGGUGGGGGUUGGAAAGUUUCGGCGGUUGGGGAUGGACUCGCGGCUUAUCAGCUUGUUGGUGGGGUAGUGGCUUACCAAGGCUUUGACGGGUAGCCGGCCUGAGAGGGUGACCGGCCACAUUGGGACUGAGAUACGGCCCAGACUCCUACGGGAGGCAGCAGUGGGGAAUAUUGCACAAUGGGCGGAAGCCUGAUGCAGCAACGCCGCGUGCGGGAUGACGGCCUUCGGGUUGUAAACCGCUUUCGCCUGUGACGAAGCGUGAGUGACGGUAAUGGGUAAAGAAGCACCGGCUAACUACGUG
rnacentral:rRNA from 1 species